GANGGGUGAGUAAUGCCUAGGGAUCUGCCCAGUCGAGGGGNAUAACAGUUGGAAACGACUGCUAAUACCGCAUACGCCCUACGGGGGAAAGGAGGGGACCUUCGGGCCUUCCGCGAUUGGAUGAACCUAGGUGGGAUUAGCUAGUUGGUGAGGUAAUGGCUCACCAAGGCGACGAUCCCUAGCUGUUCUGAGAGGAUGAUCAGCCACACUGGGACUGAGACACGGCCCAGACUCCUACGGGAGGCAGCAGUGGGGAAUAUUGCACAAUGGGGGAAACCCUGAUGCAGCCAUGCCGCGUGUGUGAAGAAGGCCUUCGGGUUGUAAAGCACUUUCAGUAGGGAGGAAAGGGUGUAGUUUAAUACGCUAUAUCUGUGACGUUACCUACAGAAGAAGGACCGGCUAACUCCGUGCCAGCAGCCGCGGUAAUACGGAGGGUCCGAGCGUUAAUCGGAAUUACUGGGCGUAAAGCGUGCGCAGGCGGUUUGUUAAGCGAGAUGUGAAAGCCCUGGGCUCAACCUAGGAAUAGCAUUUCGAACUGGCGAACUAGAGUCUUGNANNNGGGGGUAGAAUUCCAGGUGUAGCGGUGAAAUGCGUAGAG
rnacentral:rRNA from 1 species